AUCUCUUUCUCGGCUUUUUGUUAAGAUCAAAGUGUAAUAUCUGUUCUUAUUAUUUUAAUCAUUGAUGAUACGUGGGUCAAUGGCUCACAUGAUAUUAAAGUACUUUUGUAGGAGAAGAAUCUGUCACAAUAGUAUGUUAUUGGGGCUCUUCUCAAGUGUUGUCUUGGCGUUGCACUACAGCCUUGAUACGGUGCAUCCCAC